rnacentral:rRNA from 1 species
GACGAACGCUGGCGGCGUGCUUAACACAUGCAAGUCGAGCGGUAAGGCCCUUUCGGGGGUACACGAGCGGCGAACGGGUGAGUAACACGUGGGUGACCUGCCCUUAGCUCUGGGAUAAGCCUGGGAAACUGGGUCUAAUACCGGAUAUGACUCCAUGACGCAUGUUGUGGGGUGGAAAGCCUUGUGCGGCUAGGGAUGGGCCCGCGGCCCAUCAGCUUGUUGGUGGGGUGAUGGCCUACCAAGGCGACGACGGGUAGCCGGCCUGAGAGGGCGACCGGCCACACUGGGACUGAGACACGGCCCAGACUCCUACGGGAGGCAGCAGUGGGGAAUCUUGCGCAAUGGGCGAAAGCCUGACGCAGCGACGCCGCGUGGGGAUGACGGCCUCGG